CCUAUUUUGCCCCGUUGAAAGCAGUUGUGGAUCCUCACCGUGUGCUCAGAGGAGCGAUGCUGGGGGAACUGCAGCCCUCAACACGCAGCAGGGUCCCAAAAAGCUCCACGGGGUGCCCCGGGGUGCUCUGAAUCCCAUGUCAAAGCAGCAGUUGCCCAUCCAGCAUCGGAUCAGCGCCGGUUUCCUCCUGCACGUGCAGGGAGAGUUCCCUUUGCACCUCUCAGCAGAGCCUCUGCUCCUCAGCCACCUCUUCUGCUGCUUCUGGCAGAGCCGUCGGAGCGUCGGAUUUUCCUUUUGCCUGGGCCACAGCCAAGGAGGGCAUGAGGAGGUAGGGAGGAACGGGCUGGGUUUUGGGCAGUGAGCAUCACUGCCUGCUUCCAGCAUGCAGGCAGAGGCUCUGCAGCUCCCAUCUGGGUCACUCCAGGGUGUGAAAAGCCGUUUGCAGGGUGCUGCUAGCUGACAGCUGUGGGCUGAGGGCAGGAGGGAGCUGCUGGGAUGCAUGCAGGGGGGGGGGGGGGGGGGGUUUCCUGCACUGAGGCCGGAUGUUUUUCCCAGUGCAUGGAGGAAUUAGGGGCUGGGCUGCCACACCGGGCUUGGAAACACAGAUCUCUGCCACCCUCAUCAUCCUCCGUGCUUUGUGACCACCUGUGUAGAGCAGACAGAGCCCUCUGGGCUUUGGAGAGAGCGUGGUGGCAUUUCUGCACUCUAUUUUAGGGUGACUUCCUGCCUGUUUGGAGUCGCCUUGCUAUCCCCAACCCCAAUAACUCUAACCCUAACCCCGGGGACUUCAACCACUUCAACCAUUUCUCCCUGUUCUCUUCUUCUUCCUCGGGGCGAUGAAACACCACGUGUGCCACAAGCACCUGGACCAAGGGAGGCACCCAGCCUGCACCGAGGGGACGUCAGCUGAGCCCCCCACCCCAAGGUGGCCCUGGAGAUGUGAGCAGUGAGUACCUGGCCACGCUGGCAGUGCAGUGUGAGCUCGUCUGCACGACACCCAUUAAACAUUCCCCUUGCCUUAACUCACACCCAUCUCCCCGCUGUGAUUCACCGCUCGGCGUCGCCAUCCGGCCCGGCGAAGGCGGAUGGGAUCUGCUGGGGGAAAAAUAAAAC
ensembl:lncRNA